UUAAAGACAAAGAAGAGGAAUAGUAGAAAUAUAAGUUCUUUAAAAGAGAGGGAAUGUGAGCUGAAAAAUUCCUUAAGGAGCCAUUUUGAACCUGCCUUUGAGUUCUGCACUAGUAGGUUGCAGCGGGUAAUUACCGUUAAAAAUAAGAGUGAGUAGUUUUAAUUAAUUUAUUAAUUAGGGUGGUACCGCCGAUAUAGUCUCGGUCCCUUUU
rnacentral:ncRNA from 1 species